GUGAGGAAUAUUGGACAAUGGAGGAAACUCUGAUCCAGCCAUGCCGCGUGAGUGAUGAAGGCCUUCGGGUUGUAAAGCUCUUUCGGGUGUGAAAAUGAUGAUGGUAACACCAGAAGAAGCCCCGGCUAACUCCGUGCCAGCAGCCGCGGUAAUACGGAGGGGGCGAGCGUUGUUCGGAAUCACUGGGCGUAAAGCGUGCGUAGGCGGUUAUACAAGUCAGGAGUGAAAUCCCAGGGCUCAACCUUGGAAUUGCUUUUGAGACUGUAUGACUAGAGAUCUAGAGAGGUUGGGGGAAUUCCGAGUGUAGAGGUGAAAUUCGCAGAUAUUCGGAGGAACACCAGUGGCGUAGGCGCCCAACUGGCUAGAUACUGACGCUGAGGCACGAAAGCGUGGGGAGCAAAAGGGAUUAGAUACCCUUGUAGUCC
rnacentral:rRNA from 1 species